AACGUAGGGGGCGAGCGUUGCCCGGAUUCACUGGGCGUAAAGCGCGUGUAGGCGGUCCGUUAAGUCGGGUGUGAAAUCUCCGAGCUCAACUCGGAAACUGCACCCGAUACUGGCGGACUUGAGGACGGUAGAGGUCGGUGGAAUGCCGAGUGUACCGGUGAAAUGGACAGAUAUUCGGCGGAACACCAGUGGCGAAGGCGGCCGACUGGGCCGUUCCUGACGCUGAGACGCGAAAGCCAGGGGAGCGAACCGGAUUAGAAACCCCCGUAGUCC
rnacentral:rRNA from 1 species